GUUCUUUAUUGAAACAGUAGUUGCAUCUCCAGAAAGUGGAUGUUCAGGAUAACAUGUCCAAUGUGUCGGAAGAGAGAAGCAUUAGACAACAGGACAUUAAGAAAGGACUUCAGUUUAUAGAAUCUACUCUGCCCUAUCCAGGGACACAGGAACAAUAUGAGUUAUUUAUACGAGAGCUUGUUAGAAAUCUCUUUAAUGAAGGGAAUGACGUAUAUCGAGAAGGCGAUUGGAGAGGAUCACUGAGUCACUAUACAGAAGCUAUAAACAUAGCAGAUUAUGCUAAUUCUGAAGAAAUCCAUGUUUCUGAUGAUAUAUUAGAGAAACUGCAUGUAAACAGGAUAGCAUGUUAUUCAAAUAUGGGUUUGCAUGAAAAAGUUCUAGAAGACUGUGAAAUAGCAUUAAGGUUGAAUGAAAACAAUUUCCGAGCUCUCUAUCGGAAAGCUAAAGCCUUGAAUGAGUUGGGAAGGUAUAAGAAGGCUUAUGAUGCUGUAGCAAAAUGUUCUCUUGCUGUGCCACAGGAUGAAAGUGUUAUUAAGCUUACUCAAGAACUUGCUCAAAAACUAGGUUUAAAAAUAAGGAAAGCAUAUGUAAGAGCAAAGCCGCCUUCCUCAAGCCCGGUUUCUAACGAUAUAUCAGCUAAGAAUUCUUCUGUAGAAGAUAUUGAGUUAGAUUUAUCUGAACAGAAGCAAGAGAUGAUUUCUGCUGCUGCUUCAUCCUCCUCAAACUUUGCUUCUGAAGUAUCUAAAGACUUGGCAUCAGUACCUGUACCAUCCUUAUCUUCUGUUAUGCCUCUUCAAGUGGAAAAGGUUUCUUUGCCUUCUGCAGUGUUGGCAAAUGGAGGAAGUGUUUCUUUCUCUAUACCAGAAGCAUGUUUAGACUGUGGAGAUGGAGAUAUAAUUAUCGGGGAAGAACUUGAUGAGUUACUUGAUUCUGUGCCUGAUCCAGAUGAAAGUGUAAUGCAAACUACGGGAGUCAGAGGAGCUCUUCCUGCAGGAAGUGUAGCUACUAGCGUACCUUUUUCUGCCUCUUUGUUGGGGACAUUGCCAGUUGGUGGGGGAUUUGUUCCUUCACCUUCUCUUUCAGAAAUCUUUUCACAGCCUUUGGCUUCUUCACUGGAAAACUUUUGUUCAUCAUUAAGCACCUUUUCAAUCAGUGAUCCAAAAAGAGAUCUCUCAAGUUCAGCUUCUAGAGACGGAACGCCAGCGCUUAACAGCAAUAAUUCCCCUCUGUUUCAGAUAAAUGGCCCUAGCAGUUUGUUUGGAUCCGAAAGUUACAUGGGAAUCGCAGGUCAAACGAGAAAUGACUUUUCAAAUGUUUUUAGCAGUGCAACUGCUAAUAUACCUGUAUCUUCAGCACUUGCGGGAAGAAACCCGUUAGAAGGCACACAUGAGCUAAAACAGGCCUGCCAGUUAUGCUUUGUCAAAAAAGGUCCUAAAUUAUUGGAUUACACCUACCAUCCCAGCUUAGAGCAUAAAUGUAAGAAGGAUAUUCUAAUUGGCAGACUGAAAAACUCUGAAGAUAAAUCAUGGAAAAAAAUACGUCCAAGACCAACAAAGACACAAUAUGUGGGACCAUAUUAUAUAUGUAAAGAUGUUGCUGCUGAAGAAGAGUGCCGAUAUCCAGGCCAUUGCACGUUUGCGUAUUGCCAAGAGGAGAUAGAUGUAUGGACACUGGAGCGCAAAGGAGCCUUUAGCCGAGAAGCUCUUUUUGGAGGAAACGGAAAGAUCAAUUUUACUGUAUCCCGACUUCUUCAAGAACAUCAUGGAUUGUUUAUGUUUCUUUGUGAGAAAUGUUUUGAUCACAAACCCAGAAUAAUAAGCAAAAGGAAUAAGGAUAAUUCAUCUUCUUGUUCUCACCCUGCUAUGCAUGACUUCGAAGAUAACAAGUGCCUUGUCCACAUUUUGCGAGAAACUAUGGUGAAAUAUUCCAAAAUCCGCCCUUUUCAAGUUCGGUGUCAACUUGACCUGUGCAGACAUGAGGUGCAUUAUGGCUGCUUACGAGAGGAUAAAUGCUUUUAUGCUCACAGUCUGGUAGAGCUUAACGUCUGGAUAAUGCAAAAUGAAACAGGUAUUUCACAUGAUACUAUUGUUCAAGAAUCCAAGAAAUACUGGCAGAACAUGGAAGCAAAUGCACAUGGAUCACAGAUCCUUGGGAACCAAAUGAAGUACGGAUCACUUAAUUUGAAGAUGAAGUUUGUUUGUGGCCAGUGCUGGAGAAAUGGUCAAGUUAAUGAGCCAGACAGAAACAAAAAAUACUGCAGUGCAAAAGCAAGACACCCGUGGACCAAAGAUCGCCGUGUGGUGCUAGUGAUGUCUAAUGAGCGGAAGAAGUGGAUGACCAUUCGUCCUCUUCCCACAAAGAAACAAGUGCCUCUGCAGUUUGAUUUGUGCAAUCAUAUUGCUUCAGGCAAGAAAUGUCAGUAUGAUGGAAACUGCUCAUUUGCUCACAGUCCUGAGGAGAGAGAGAUGUGGACCUAUAUGAAGGAGAAUAGCACUUCUGCUCUCAUUAGUUCAAGACUUGGAGCAGUUGUAUGAUAUAUGGCUAAAAAGUCAAAAACCAGAAAAAGGAGAUGAUAUAGCCACUCAGGCAAACAAAGAAAACGGGAAGCAAAUUCACAUGCCAACUGACUAUGCUGAAGUGACAGUGGAUUUUCACUGCUGGAUGUGUGGAAAGAACUGUAAUAGUGAGAAACAAUGGCAGGGUCACAUUUCUUCUGAAAAGCAUAAAGAGAAGGUUUUUCACACUGAGGACGAUCAAAACUGCUGGCAGUAUCGCUUUCCAACUGGAUAUUUUAGCAUUUGUGAUAGAUAUAUGGCUGGUACUUGUACGGAAGGAAACAACUGUAAAUUUGCCCAUGGAAAUGCCGAGCUCCAUGAGUGGGAAGAGCGAAGACAAGUUUUAAGAAUGAAACUCAGCAAAGCAAGAAAAGAUCACUUGAUUGCUCCCAGUGAUAAUGACUUUGGAAAAUAUAGUUUUUUGUUUAAAGAUUUAAACUAAUACUGAGAUGGCACAUACAUGUUACCAGCUGGAAGUAUAAACCAGAAAAUUUGACAAUAAUCAAAAGCAUGUGACAGAAAAGCUGCAGGUUUUCUGCUUUUAUUGGCAUAUAUUGUUCCUCCUGGACAGCAAAAUAUAGUAGAUUUAGGGGGAUUGAGCAGACCUGUCUGUGCUCUCAUGACACAGAAUGGUGAUUUAAAAAAAAAAAAAAAAACCUGAAGUAUUACAUGCUAAUUCACCUUCUGUUGGACAGAAAGUUAGGAAAUAGAAGGGGGAAAGAGAGGUUAUAAAGUCUAGGAAGCCCCCCUAGUAUCAGUCCUUCAGUUGAAAAACUUUAAGGUAUUAAGGUAUUAAAAACAGUGUCUUGGGCGAAGAAGAAAAUGAUGGAUGAAAAUUCUUCAGAUGUUUUAAUGGAGAGGAUUUGUUUAAAACAAAGUUUGCUACUUAUCUAUAUGUAGGUUGCUAAAAAGGAAUUUCUUAUUAAAGAUUUUAAGCAAAAUAACCAUUUAACUACAAUAUAUGUUGAAUGGGUAUUUUUUUCUCUAUUUGUAUGUUUCAAUAUAAUUUACUGAAAAAGGAUCUUGGGAAGAAAAACCUAAUUUUUGAAAAUCAAGUAGUUAAAAUUCUGUUUCUUGGUCUUUGCUGUUUAAAUGAUGAUUUUGAAAGAUUACACUUGUAUGUCAGUAUUGUGUAUCGUAUGGACUAAUGUUGCCUGUAAUAAAAGAGAACUUUACAUAAAGCUGUUUUCUGCA